ACUACAAAAAAAAAGUUCAGAAAACUAUAUUUUUAUACUUGUGACGUUAUAAUUCAGCUAACUAUGCACUCUACUCUCAAUGUAGGAGAUACAUUAUAAAGC